UACACGUUCCUUAGAUCCACCUCUGGAGGGCGCUGUGCUCUGAGCAGAGCUCCUCAGCAGCUUCCUUGCUGUACAGUUGGAGGUGCUUGAGUCAUUGGCGUGUAAAAACAGUCUACCUGUCCCCCAGCCUACCUGUAACACUGACAUCCCUGUCUUCCACAGUCAGGGAGCUCCCAGUGUUGCAAGCCUGAGGGACGGACACA
rnacentral:snoRNA from 1 species